rnacentral:rRNA from 1 species
GUGCCAGCAGCCGCGGUAAUACAUAGGGGGCAAGCGUUAUCCGGAAUUAUUGGGCGUAAAGAGUGCGUAGGUGGUCUACUAAGCGCGAGGUGAAAGGCAAUGGCUCAACCAUUGUUAGCCUUGCGAACUGGCAGACUUGAGUGCAAGAGAGGAAAGCGGAAUUCCUAGUGUAGCGGUGAAAUGCGCAGAUAUUAGGAGGAACACCGGCGGCGAAGGCGGCUUUCUGGAUUGUAACUGACACUGAGGCACGAAAGCGUGGGUAGCAAACAGGAUUAGAUACCCUGGUAGUCCACGCCGUAAACGAUGAGCACUAGGUGUCGGGACAUGAGUCUCGGUGCCGCAGUUAACGCAAUAAGUGCUCCGCCUGGGGAGUACGCACGCAAGUGUAAAACUCAAAGGAAUUGACGGGGACCCGCACAAGCAGCGGAGCAUGUGGUUUAAUUCGAAGCAACGCGAAGAACCUUACCAAGACUUGACAUCCCUCUGACGUACCCUUAAUCGGGUAUUUCUUCG